GGUGAAAUCACUGAGCUGCUGAACUUGCUGACCAAAAUCUUGCUCUCCAGUUUAAAUCUGGGGAGAGGGGGGAGCUUUUGCUGUUAGCACCAGCUUCCACCAAUUUAGCAGUCUGUGAGUAAUAAUAAUAAUAAUAAUAAUAAUAAUAAUAAUAAUAAUAAACCAUUGAUCAUAUCCUCAGCUGCUGUAAGAAAAUCGCACAGACAGACUACAAACAGAGGCACAACUAUGUGGCCCAAAUGAUUCAUUGGAACUUAUGCCUCAAGUACCACCUCCCAGCAGUAAAGAACUGGUGGGAUCACAAACCUGCAAAAGUAUUGGAGAAUGAGCACGCAAAGAUACUGUGGGACUUCCGAAUCCAGACUGACAAAGUUCUGGAACACAACACACCAGACAUCAUAGUUGUGGAAAAGAAAAAGGUUUGGAUCAUUGAUGUUGCCAUCCCAGGUGACAGUCGCAUUGACGAAAAACAACAGGAAAAACUCAGCCGCUAUCAGGACCUCAAGAUUGAACUUCAAAGACUCAUGAUAUCAGCUGUGUAUGUUUGCAGAGGGACAAGAGGCAAUAAAGGAGAAUCGUGAAAAUGCUGACAUUUCUCAGAAGCUGGAAUUCACUAAGCCAAAAGGUUACAAAGCUUUAUCCUUUCCUUCUUGUGUCAUAUUUGUUCAUCUCAGACAUAACUUCCAAUUACUUUCCAAUUUCAGCUGCAAAAUGAAAGGAGUAUUUGAGAUGGACAGCCUGAUUUUCUCCAAGUCCCUUUGACAUUGUGGGAUCAGUAUUCUCCAUAGGAAGUUGCAAUUUUAACUAUGAUUUAAGAAAUAAAGGCCAUUUAUUGACUCAGCCAAGUCCUUUAGGAAACAUUCCUUAGAAAAUAUAUCUGUCUUAAAUGCCCUGUUUGGGUUAUGUUCUUUUUUGGAAGAAUGUAUUUGCUUGUAUAGCCCUGUAAGACUGGGGAAAAAAAACCAGUUACAACGUAAAGUCCAAUUCACUAUCUCAUUACAGGGGAUGCCAUUUCUAUUACAUUUCAGAAGAAGGUGCUUGCAAUUGAAGCCUUGAUACCAGUCUGAUAUGAUUGGACUUUGACUCAGCCAUGGAUCAGUUGGUAGUUUUUCAAUUUCUUCUACAGGUGGCCCUUUUUCAUCUUUCUAGAAAGUUUUAGAAAAUGUCCCUGAUGAAUUGCCUGUUUUCAAACAAUGCCUUUUAAAUAGGAGUAGAAUUGUUCCUCAGUUUGGCUUUUUCACAUGUCCAAAUAUGCAAAGAAAUCUGUUUAUGCCUUUUACCUUGCCCGCUAAUAAUAUCUUCAUGUCAUCCAUCUAAUUUUAGAGGGAAAAAAAUAAUUUGGUUGCCAUUGCCAUAACUACCAUUGAAAGGCAGACAUUCUUGCUGCUUCACAAUCACCUGCAUGUCUCACACUAGAACCUGAUCAAUACCUGUCCCUAACCUUUGACAUUUGGCCAGUAUAAAGCAGUUUUCUAAGGCAGGACUUUAAAAAACAUUGUCUACUCAUAACUCGUUUCUGCCUGAGAAUAUUUUACAUGACUCUGGAAAGUUUCUGUAGGUUUGUUCUUAAGUUGGAUUUCUAUGUAGUUUAGGACAGGGUCUUGUUAAUUCUCUGCCACAGGCAUCCUCACCUUCCCAAACUACAUUUCCCAGAAUUCCAUUCACAUCAGAAGAAAGGGACUGCCAGCUUUCAAGCCUUAAUGUCUCUCUUAGUGUCCCUCCUAGCUUGCUUGUCCUCCCAUAAUGGCAACAGGCAAUCUGGCUCUCUUUCAUUUAAAAAGGAAAGGCCUCUUUAGCUUCACCCUACUGGCACAGUUUGUGCUGAAAAUGAAACUGACUUUGGGAGACUUACAAGGUUUACUGAACUUUAACGAAAAGUCAUAGGUGAGUGUUUCGAAUCUUAAGGGUGCCCCUCGCGUUUCUGAUCUUACAAAAUAGAUCUGACAUACGAGGCACAAACAACUUUUUGCACAAUCCUAAUGAAUACACCUCUAUUGGGGACAUAUACUGACAUAAACUGGUGUUUCUUUGUGCACAACUUUCCCUACGCCUGUUCAAAGACAGCCAGAACAUACAUGAGCACAGUUCUACCCUCAACCAAAAUAACCACAAAUCUGUCAGAGAGAGGCAUCUGAUAUUUGUGUAGUUGAGAAAAAGGAACAACCUUAAACUAAUUGGAUGAAAAAAUAUGUAAAGUGUAGGACCAUCCUAGCUGACCAAACACAUAAAGAGGAAGGCAGGGGUCAGCUCUACCCUCACUAUUUAUCAUGGGGCCAAUCCCUAAUGGCAAACAAUGGAUUGGCACUGGGAUGAUUUAGGAAGCCACCAGCUGCUCUGGAGGUGGGAGAGGUUUUCUGAUCAUCCAACAGUGCUGAAUGAAAUUCAGCAUCACUGGAUGGCCAAUUGUACUGGCAUCUCCCUCUACUGUCAUCAUCACAGUGGUCACUGGGACCAACAUGGCUUGUUUUGGUUGCUCAUUGCCUGAGUGACACUUGCUGCUGCACCAGAGUGACAUUCCUCUCCCCUUCCUUUCUCUGAUCACCCUGUCAUUCUGGAUAGCCUCACUCCAGUCAAUCAUAGAAUCAUAGAAUUGUAGAGUUGGAAGAGACCUCACGGGCCAUCCAGUCCAACCCUCUGCAAGAAGCAGGAAAAUCUCAUUCAAAGCACCCCCAACAGAUGGCCAUCCAGCCUCUGCUUCAAAGCCUCCACCACAGUCCGGGGGAGAGA
ensembl:lncRNA